CCUACGGGAGGCUGUAGUGGGGAAUAUUGCGCAAUGGGCGAAAGCCUGACGCAGCGACGCCGCGUGAGGGAUGAAGGUCUUCGGAUCGUAAACCUCUGUCAGCAGGGAAGAACGGUCACUGUGCUAAUCAGCAGUGAAUUGACGGUACCUGCAAAGGAAGCACCGGCUAACUCCGUGCCAGCAGCCGCGGUAAUAGGGAGGGUGCGAGCGUUAAUCGGAAUUACUGGGCGUAAAGCGCUCGUAGGCGGUAUGUCAAGUCAAGGGUGAAAUCCCCGCGCUCAACGUGGGAACUGCCUUUGAAACUGGCAAACUGGGGUGUGUGAGAGGAUAGUGGAAUUCCAGGUGUAGGAGUGAAAUCCGUAGAUAUCUGGAGGAACAUCAGUGGCGAAGGCGACUAUCUGGCACAUAACUGACGCUGAGGAGCGAAAGCGUGGGUAGCAAACAGGAUUAGAUACCCGAGUAGUC
rnacentral:rRNA from 1 species